CGUUCGGGACGACCUGAACGGCAGAUUUAAGAAGCGGGACGGCCCGC
rnacentral:ncRNA from 1 species